GGCAGGGAUUUCCAGGCGGGAAGGGCAAGCCUUCAGCUGGCUUCAUUCCCUCCGGGUCCUCCCAGAGAAGCUCUCCCUGACCACCACCGCCCCCAAGAAGCCGCCAGCCAAGCGAUCCAGAUGGAACAUUCUAAAAUGUGCCUACAUGAUGGUCACCUUCUUGUUCGUGUCCUACAACAAAGGAGACUGGUGUUACUGUCACUACUGCAACACAGAAGAGGACAUCAGGACCGACCCCUGCUGCUCUUUCUAGCAACCCUACUCCGUCUCAGCU